GAUCAUAAGCUAGAAGAUGUAAGAGCAAAGAUAUUCCCUUAUAAGAGGCGAAAAGUGAAGGAGCCUGAAAUUAUGCCUUCAGUUACAUUGCCAGUUAGAAGGAAAGAGAGAUCACUUUCAUCAUUGGGUGUCAGCACACCCAGAGUAUCUACACAUACUGGAAUGACAGGAAGAAGAUCAAAAUCAGUGGCAAGAAAAGCAUUACGCGGCUCUACCUUUUCCACUGAGAAAGCUAUCAAGAAUGAGGAAGAUUAUGGGGAAGAGUCAGAUAGCUCUAGCUCACCAGACACUUUGACAAAGUCUUCUCAGAGUAAAAGGCAGAAUUAUUCCAAUGCCGAGCCUUCUAGCCAUCCCACAUCGGACAAAGGAACUGACAAUGGCACUGAACAACAAGAAGGCAAAGUUGAUUUGUGGAAA
rnacentral:misc_RNA from 1 species